GCUAGGCACAGUGGUGCAUGCCUGUAAUCCCAGUGGCUCAGGAGGCUGAGGCAGGAGGUUCACAAGUUUGAGGCCAGCCUCAGCAACUUAGCCAGGCCCUAAGCAUCUUAGUGAGACUGGCCUCAA
rnacentral:sRNA from 1 species